rnacentral:lncRNA from 10 species
AGGUGAGGGCGGCGGGUGCCGAAGCGACGGCAGCGGCCGCGGCCGGAGGAGCAAUAGCAGCAGCCGUGGCGGCCACGGGGCGGGGCGCGGCGGUCGGUGACCGCGGCCGGGGCUGCAGGCGGCGGAGCGGCUGGGUCGCCCAUAUUUGAUUUUGAGCUCCAAAAUGGAAGAUUGGAAAAUAUGUUUUGAAGAGCUUGCCAACACUUGGUGUCACAUGUGAGCCUCCCACAUGUAUUCACUCUCCAUUCCAGCUCUGUGAUUGAACUCUGCUCUUAUUGACUAGGGGGCAGUUGGGCAGGCAUGCCUCAUUCCUGGAAUUGACAGUCAUUCCUAAUAAGUUGGAUUCCAUGGGUUCCAAGAGAAGAAGAGCUACCUCCCCUUCCAGCAGUGUCAGCGGGGACUUUGAUGAUGGGCACCAUUCUGUGUCAACACCAGGCCCAAGCAGGAAAAGGAGGAGACUUUCCAAUCUUCCAACU